rnacentral:lncRNA from 1 species
UGAGUUACUGAAUUCUAUUGACAGAUAGAAUACUACUGGUAUCUGACAACUGACUGAGUUCAUGAGAUCAUGGAGAUUUUCUGAGUCAUAAGACUAUCUGAAGUCUAAGGAUAAUAGCUUGACUGAGAGUAUUGUAAAACAUGACAUGGCUCUAGGCACACAGCUAAUGUUUUGAGUUUAAGUACCCCUAAGACUCAAUAGAAGAAAACUGAUGAAUCAUGACUUUAUCAAGUACAAG